AUGAGUUUUAAACCUCACGAGUGCUGGGCUCUGCCUUGGGAGCCCUGGUGGGGCCGGGAGCAAGGCAACCCCAGGGACCCUUGCCUCUGGUGUCAGCAGAGCGGUGCUGGCGUCUCGGUGCCGUCUAUAUGGGAAAUGUUGGUUUCCAUAGGAACGGCCUGUGGCAGCGCUGGCUUUUGGGGGAGGUGGCAUCUGGAUGGUGGCAGGAGCCUGGCGUGGCUGCGCCUCGCUAACUCAGUCUCCCUCCCUCUGCAAACAUUGGAUUUAAACCUGCUCAGAAUUCAGCACAGACGAAAGCGGCAGCAGCGGCGGCGGCGGCAGCAGCAGCAAGCAGCAAGCAAAUCAGCCGCUAGCCUAGUGCAGCUCCAAGAUGUACCAUCCUGCCUGCUGGAUCGUCUUCACCGCCACAACUGCCCUGCUCUUCAUCCCAGGUCGGUCAUCACCAGAAAUCGCUCGGGUCCUGGGGACGUAGGGCAUGGAUCAGCUCCUGCACGGGUCAGUAGAGCCCAGCGCUCCUGGUGGGCGCUUUUCCACCCACCUGCGCCACGCUCUCCUGUGAUUUGCACCAAUGUGGUACCCCAAUAA
rnacentral:lncRNA from 1 species